AUGGCGGUGGCCUCCGCCAGCGGCGGCGCGAUGUUCCCUCCGCCCGCCAACUCCCCGCCGCAGAAGCUCUGGGAGGACCCGUCCUUCUUCCGGUGGAGGAAGCGGGACGCGCACGUGCCGCUCCGCUCGCAGGACACGCUCGAAGGGGCGCUGAGGUACUGGCGCGAGCGGAGGAACGUGAGCCACCUGGACGCCGAGGCCGCCGUCUGGGACGACGGCGCGGUCCACGGCGCGCUGGACAGCGCCGCGUUCUGGUCCCGGGGGCUGCCGUACGCGCGGUCGCUCAGCGGGCACUGGAAGUUCCGGCUGGCGCAGUCGCCGGAGACCGUCCCGGACAAGUUCUACGAUGCGCAGUUCAAUGACUCUGACUGGGAGGCUCUGCCAGUUCCCUCGAAUUGGCAGAUGCACGGGUUCGACCGUCCGAUCUACACAAAUGUCACUUAUCCCUUCCCCAUGAACCCGCCGUUUGUGCCUUCCGAGAACCCCACGGGCUGUUACAGAAAGGUUUUUCACAUCCCAAAAGAAUGGAAAGGUCGGAGAAUUUUGUUGCACUUUGAAGCUGUUGAUUCAGCGUUUCUUGCUUGGGUAAAUGGUGUACCAAUUGGAUACAGCCAAGACAGCAGGCUUCCUGCUGAGUUUGAAAUCACUGAUUGCUGCCAUCAUUGUGAUUCAGACAAGGAAAAUGUUCUUGCAGUUCAAGUCAUGAGGUGGAGUGAUGGUUCUUAUCUUGAAGAUCAAGACCAUUGGUGGUUGUCCGGUAUUCACAGAGAUGUGUUACUAUUAUCAAAGCCGCAGAUCUUUAUCACAGAUUACUUUUUCAAAGCAACCUUGGAUGAGAACUUCCGGGUAGCUGAUAUUGAGGUUGAGGUGGAAAUUGAUUCACACAAGCAAGACAGGGAGCAUAUCCCAACUUUGUCGAUUGAAGCAACAUUAUUUGAUAAUUCUGAAUCAUCUGAUGAUUUGAAUUCAGACAUGUCAGCUGCUAACAUAGUCAACUUGAAGACAAAGCCAGAACCUAAGGGAGGCCCUUGCCAUGGUUUUCAUGGUUAUGUUCUUGGUGGAAAAGUGGAAAAUCCAAAGCUUUGGUCUAGUGAAAAACCGAACUUAUACACUCUUGUUGUUCUCCUUAAAGAUGCCAAUGGGAAGCUUAUUGAUUGCGAAUCAUGCCAAGUAGGGAUCCGUAAUGUGGUCCUGGCACACAAGCAGAUGCUUGUCAAUGGAUCUCCUGUUGUAAUUAGAGGUGUCAACAGACAUGAGCAUCAUCCACGUGUUGGGAAGACAAAUUUAGAAGCAUGCAUGAUCAAGGAUCUGGUCUUGAUGAGACAAAACAACAUCAAUGCUGUUAGAAACUCCCAUUACCCCCAACAUUCAAGGUGGUAUGAGUUAUGCGAUAUUUUUGGUCUUUAUGUAAUUGAUGAAGCCAAUAUCGAGACACAUGGCUUUGAUGAAACUAGCCAUUUCAAACAUCCUACACUAGAACCCAUCUGGGCAAAUUCUAUGCUUGAUCGUGUCGUUGGCAUGGUGGAGAGGGACAAAAAUCAUGCGUGCAUAAUUAUUUGGUCCUUGGGAAAUGAAGCCUCAUAUGGACCAAACCACUCUGCUAUGUCUGGGUGGGUUCGUGGAAGAGACCCAACAAGGCUCAUCCAUUAUGAAGGAGGUGGCUCCAGAACAUCAUCCACAGAUAUUAUAUGCCCCAUGUACAUGCGUGUCUGGGAUAUUCUCAAGAUUGCAAAUGACCCAUCUGAAAACAGGCCCCUCAUUCUUUGCGAAUAUUCACAUGCUAUGGGGAACAGUAAUGGAAAUAUUGACGCAUAUUGGAAGGCGAUAGACAACACGAUGGGACUCCAAGGAGGUUUUAUAUGGGACUGGGUCGAUCAGGGUUUACUGAAGGAGGAUGCUGAUGGAUCUAAAUCUUGGGCAUAUGGUGGUGACUUUGGAGACACUCCAAAUGACUUGAAUUUUUGCAUUAAUGGCAUUGUGUGGCCUGAUCGGACGCUUCACCCUGCUGUUAAUGAAGUUAAAUAUCUUUACCAGCCUAUCAAAAUAUCGCUGGUGGAUAAUAUUCUUAAGAUUGAAAAUGGACAAUUUUCUGAGACAACAGAGGCUUUGGACUUCAGCUGGAUUCUUCAUGGGGAUGGAAGCGUUUUGGGCUCUGGUUCACUCAGUGUCCCAAACUUAGCACCACAAAGUAGCCAUCUUAUCAACAUGGAAUCAUCGCCUUGGUUUACUCUUUGGAGUACCUGUGCGGCAAAAGAAACUUUUUUGUCUGUACACGUGACACUGAGGGACCAAACACGGUGGGCUAAAGCUGGUCAUGUCUUGGCUUCAGCGCAACUCAGUUUACCUCAGACAAAGGGCUUUGUUCCUCAUGUGAUAGCAUUGUCCAAGAGCCCUCUGACCUCUGAGCAGGUUGGUGAUGGUGUAAUCAUUAGCAAGAACCACGAAUGGCAAAUCAAAAUAAACAGUCAGUUGGGAACAAUUGACAGUUGGAAGAUCAACAACGUCGAGCUUAUGAGCAAGGGAAUAUUUCCUUGCUUUUGGCGCGCACCAACCGACAACGACAAUGGAGGCUUCUACACCAAGUCCUAUGCCACAACAUGGAGGGAAGCCUUCCUUGACAACGUCUCCUUCUACAGCAGCCAGUUUUCAGUGAAGGAGCUGCCAGACCACACCGUCGAGGUUUCUACCACAUAUUACGGCCUUCCCGGGCACCUGCCAAAACCGGAUGAUGCCGCUCUUUCAGAAGCUUCUGAGUCCGUGCUUUUCCGGGUCCAUAUGCGCUGCCGGAUCUACGAGUCCGGCGACGUGAUCCUCGACUACGAGGUAAACCCCAAGAGCGACCUCCCCCCUCUCCCGCGGGUGGGCAUCGUGUUCAAUGCAGAGAAAUCCCUGAACCAUGUCACAUGGUACGGGAGGGGCCCGUUCGAGUGCUACCCCGACCGCAAGGCCGCGGCGCACGUCGGCGUGUACGAGAGCAGCGUGGAGGACCUCCAUGUGCCCUACAUCGUCCCGGGCGAGUGUGGCGGCCGCGCGGACGUCUGGUGGGUGGCGCUUAAGAACGCCGACGGGUUCGGCCUCUUCGCCUCGACCCACGGCGAGUCCCCGCCGAUGCAGGUGAGCGCGAGCUACUACGGCGCCGCGGAGCUCGACCGGGCCACCCAUCAGCACAAGCUGGUCAAGGGAGACGACAUCGAGGUGCAUCUUGAUCACAUGCACAUGGGGGUGGGCGGGGACGACAGCUGGACGCCGUGCGUGCACGAGGAGUACCUGCUGUCGCCGGCGGCGAGCUACAGGUUCUCGCUGCGGCUGCGCCCCCUGUCGCCGUCGUCAUCGUGCCACGACAUCUACAGCUCCCGGCUACCUAAUUGA
rnacentral:rRNA from 1 species